UACGAAGGGGGCUAGCGUUGUUCGGAAUUACUGGGCGUAAAGGGCGCGUAGGCGGCUUACCAAGUCAGGCGUGAAAUUCCCGGGCUCAACCUGGGGGCUGCGCUUGAUACUGGUGAGCUUGAAUGCGGGAGAGGAUAGUGGAAUUCCCAGUGUAGAGGUGAAAUUCGUAGAUAUUGGGAAGAACACCGGUGGCGAAGGCGGCUACCUGGCCCAAUACUGACACUCAGGUGCGACAGCGUGGGGAGCAAACAGG
rnacentral:rRNA from 1 species